rnacentral:rRNA from 1 species
GGCGAGUUACGAUCCCGUGCGAGGUUAAGCUGAAGAGGCGGAGCCGCAGCGAAAGCGAGUCUGAAUAGGGCGUUUAGUACGUGGUCGUAGACCCGAAACCAGGUGAUCUACCCAUGUCCAGGGUGAAGUUCAGGUAACACUGAAUGGAGGCCCGAACCCACGCACGUUGAAAAGUGCGGGGAUGAGGUGUGGGUAGCGGAGAAAUUCCAAUCGAACCUGGAGAUAGCUGGUUCUCCCCGAAAUAGCUUUAGGGCUAGCCUUAAGUGUAAGAGUCUUGGAGGUAGAGCACUGAUUGGACUAGGGGUCCUCAUCGGAUUACCGAAUUCAGUCAAACUCCGAAUGCCAAUGACUUAUCCUUAGGAGUCAGACUGCGAGUGAUAAGAUCCGUAGUCAAAAGGGAAACAGCCCAGACCGCCAGCUAAGGUCCCAAAGUGUGUAUUAAGUGGAAAAGGAUGUGGAGUUGCUUAGACAACUAGGAUGUUGGCUUAGAAGCAGCCACCAUUUAAAGAGUGCGUAAUAGCUCACUAGUCGAGUGACUCUGCGCCGAAAAUGUACCGGGGCUAAAUACACCACCGAAGCUGCGGAUUGAUACCAAUGGUAUCAGUGGUAGGGGAGCGUUCUAAGGACAGUGAAGUCAGACCGGAAGGACUGGUGGAGUGCUUAGAAGUGAGAAUGCCGGUAUGAGUAGCGAAAGACGGGUGAGAAUCCCGUCCACCGAAUGCCUAAGGUUUCCUGAGGAAGGCUCGUCCGCUCAGGGUUAGUCAGGACCUAAGCCGAGGCCGACAGGCGUAGGCGAUGGACAACAGGUUGAUAUUCCUGUACCACCUCUUUAUCGUUUGAGCAAUGGAGGGACGCAGAAGGAUAGAAGAAGCGUGCGAUUGGUUGUGCACGUCCAAGCAGUUAGGCUGAUAAGUAGGCAAAUCCGCUUAUCGUGAAGGCUGAGCUGUGAUGGGGAAGCUCCUUAUGGAGCGAAGUCUUUGAUUCCCCGCUGCCAAGAAAAGCUUCUAGCGAGAUAAAAGGUGCCUGUACCGCAAACCGACACAGGUAGGCGAGGAGAGAAUCCUAAGGUGUGCGAGAGAACUCUGGUUAAGGAACUCGGCAAAAUGACCCCGUAACUUCGGGAGAAGGGGUGCUUUCUUAACGGAAAGCCGCAGUGAAUAGGCCCAAGCGACUGUUUAGCAAAAACACAGCUCUCUGCGAAGCCGUAAGGCGAAGUAUAGGGGGUGACACCUGCCCGGUGCUGGAAGGUUAAGGAGAGGGGUUAGCGUAAGCGAAGCUCUGAACUGAAGCCCCAGUAAACGGCGGCCGUAACUAUAACGGUCCUAAGGUAGCGAAAUUCCUUGUCGGGUAAGUUCCGACCCGCACGAAAGGUGUAACGAUUUGGGCACUGUCUCAACCAGAGACUCGGUGAAAUUAUAGUACCUGUGAAGAUGCAGGUUACCCGCGACAGGACGGAAAGACCCCGUGGAGCUUUACUGUAGCCUGAUAUUGAAUUUUGGUACAGUUUGUACAGGAUAGGCGGGAGCCUUUGAAACCGGAGCGCUAGCUUCGGUGGAGGCGCUGGUGGGAUACCGCCCUGACUGUAUUGAAAUUCUAACCUACGGGUCUUAUCGACCCGGGAGACAGUGUCAGGUGGGCAGUUUGACUGGGGCGGUCGCCUCCUAAAGUGUAACGGAGGCGCCCAAAGGUUCCCUCAGAAUGGUUGGAAAUCAUUCGUAGAGUGCAAAGGCAUAAGGGAGCUUGACUGCGAGACCUACAAGUCGAGCAGGGACGAAAGUCGGGCUUAGUGAUCCGGUGGUUCCGCAUGGAAGGGCCAUCGCUCAACGGAUAAAAGCUACCCCGGGGAUAACAGGCUUAUCUCCCCCAAGAGUCCACAUCGACGGGGAGGUUUGGCACCUCGAUGUCGGCUCAUCGCAUCCUGGGGCUGUAGUCGGUCCCAAGGGUUGGGCUGUUCGCCCAUUAAAGCGGUACGCGAGCUGGGUUCAGAACGUCGUGAGACAGUUCGGUCCCUAUCCGUCGUGGGCGUAGGAAAUUUGAGAGGAGCUGUCCUUAGUACGAGAGGACCGGGAUGGACGCACCGCUGGUGUACCAGUUGUUCUGCCAAGGGCAUAGCUGGGUAGCUAUGUGCGGAAGGGAUAAGUGCUGAAAGCAUCUAAGCAUGAAGCCCCCCUCAAGAUGAGAUUUCCCAUAGCGUAAGCUAGUAAGAUCCCUGAAAGAUGAUCAGGUUGAUAGGU